rnacentral:rRNA from 1 species
UCACCUACGGGACGCAGCAGUGAGGAAUAUUGGUCAAUGGGCGGAAGCCUGAACCAGCCAAGUCGCGUGAGGGAUUAAGGCCCUGCGGGUCGUAAACCUCUUUUGCCGGGGAGCAGAGGUCCGGACGUGUCCGGGCCGGGAGAGUACCCGGAGAAAAAGCAUCGGCUAACUCCGUGCCAGCAGCCGCGGUAAUACGGAGGAUGCGAGCGUUAUCCGGAUUUACUGGGUGUAAAGGGAGCGUAGACGGCCAUGCAAGCCUGGAGUGAAAGCCCGGGGCCCAACCCCGGGACUGCUCUGGGAACUGG